rnacentral:lncRNA from 1 species
AUGCAGACACCUAACAGCUGUUUGCACAGAUAUGAGCUGGCUUCUUGAAUUUGAAGACUGCUUUUUAUGAAGAGAUAUGGGUGCAGUUAUCUGUAAAUUGGAUGUUAUAUCUGUUCUUCUCUGACUUUGCUAAUUAUAGUCAGAAGGGGGAGGAAGGGAGAUUUUGAAGGUCUGAAAGUCCUUUUUUUUAUGUAGUCAUGCUUAAAUUUUGGAUAUAGUAACAAUAAUAAACAUCAUCACAGUUAAUAUAUUAAGCACUUACUUAAUGUCACGUGCUGAACUAAGUAUCUCAUUUUCUCCUCAUAAACUCCCACAAGUGAGAUUAUAUUCCUAUGUCAAGACAUCUCCAAAGUUAAAGAAAAUUGCUGUGCCUUGUGCACCCUUUUUGCUAAAGAAGAGGUACAAAACUUGGUAGGUCUUUUUGGAGGCAACAUAUUCCUCACUUAAGUGUACUGCUCUCUUACCCAUUUGAUUCAGUUUUGAGUGAGUCCUGGGGCAAGGGAGAGCUCUGCAGUGUUCCAGAUUGCCACAGAAGCUGCUUACCACUUGAGAUUUAUGGUACAGCAGAUAUGGUGUCAUCUGAAGUAAGUGUCACAAUGAUGCAUGUUGAAAGAAGGAAUGGAGCAGGAUUAGAGCGCAGACUCCUAGAGUUUCAGAACAAACUAUUCUAUUUUCUGGAAAUAAACAUUCUUUUGAGAAAUAGUACCUAGUUUGACACUAUCUUACUAGAAAUUUAAUGCUUAACCGUGGAUUAUCAAGGGACCGCGCAACUUGUAUGGCUUAUCCUGAGUGAGGUGUUUCCUAGCCACAAGGUUGUGCAUGAAGAGUGGCAGUUCCUCAAAAGGAAAUAUAUAUGUAUGUAUGUAUGUAUGUAUGUAUAUAGGCUGCAUAGCCUUCCUCUGUCAGUCCAUACCUACAGCCUCAUGCAGAAUUUCUUAUUUAAAAAGUAUGAUUAUUAGUGUAUGUUAAUUGUACAAAAUAAGUAGAUUCAUUGUGACAAUUUCAUACCUGCAUAUUUCCCUGUUUCUCCUCCCCUCCCUCUGUCCUUCUCUUUACCUAACAGUCCCCCCACCUUUUUUUUUAAUUUCUAAAUUCACAUAUGAGAGAAAACAUGCAAUAUUUGUUUUUCAUCUGGCUUAUUUUGCUUAACAUAAUCUCCUGUUCCAUCCUUUUCCCUGAAAAUGACACUAUUUCAUUCUUCUUUAUGGCUAAACAAUAUUCACAUAACUCGUUUACUAAAGAAGAAAAACUAGGGCUUGCUUCUUUAUAUAUAUAUAUAUUUUAGUUGUAGUCG